rnacentral:rRNA from 1 species
GCAGCAUUUUAGUUUGCUUGCAAACUGAAGAUGGCGACCGGCGCACGGGUGAGUAACACGUAUCCGACCUGCCGAUAACUCCGGGAUAGCCUUUCGAAAGAAAGAUUAAUACCGGAUGGCAUACGAAUAUCGCAUGAUAUUUUUAUUAAAGAAUUUCGGUUAUCGAUGGGGAUGCGUUCCAUUAGUUUGUUGGCGGGGUAACGGCCCACCAAGACUACGAUGGAUAGGGGUUCUGAGAGGAAGGUCCCCCACAUUGGAACUGAGACACGGUCCAAACUCCUACGGGAGGCAGCAGUGAGGAAUAUUGGUCAAUGGGCGAGAGCCUGAACCAGCCAAGUAGCGUGAAGGAUGAAGGCUCUAUGGGUCGUAAACUUCUUUUAUAUGGGAAUAAAGUUUUCCACGUGUGGAAUUUUGUAUGUACCAUAUGAAUAAGGAUCGGCUAACUCCGUGCCAGCAGCCGCGGUAAUACGGAGGAUCCGAGCGUUAUCCGGAUUUAUUGGGUUUAAAGGGAGCGUAGGUGGAUUGUUAAGUCAGUUGUGAAAGUUUGCGGCUCAACCGUAAAAUUGCAGUUGAAACUGGCAGUCUUGAGUACAGUAGAGGUGGGCGGAAUUCGUGGUGUAGCGGUAAAAUGCUUAGAUAUCACGAAGAACUCCGAUUGCGAAG